AGGCCACUGCUAUGGGGGUCCGACUAAGCCAUGCGAGUCAUGGGGCGCGCUCUGCGCGCACCGGCGGACGGCUCAGUAACACGUCGGUAACCUACCCUCGGGAGGGGGAUAACCCCGGGAAACUGGGGCUAAUCCCCCAUAGGCCUGAGGUACUGGAAGGUCCUCAGGCCGAAAGGGNACCGCCCGAGGAUGGGCCGGCGGCCGAUUAGGUAGUUGGUGGGGUAACGGCCCACCAAGCCGAAGAUCGGUACGGGCCAUGAGAGUGGGAGCCCGGAGAUGGACACUGAGACACGGGUCCAGGCCCUACGGGGCGCAGCAGGCGCGAAACCUCCGCAAUGCGGGCAACCGCGACGGGGGGACCCCCAGUGCCGUGGCAUCGCCACGGCUUUUCCGGAGUGUAAAAAGCUCCGGGAAUAAGGGCUGGGCAAGGCCGGUGGCAGCCGCCGCGGUAAUACCGGCGGCCCGAGUGGUGGCCGCUAUUAUUGGGCCUAAAGCGUCCGUAGCCGGGCCCGUAAGUCCCUGGCGAAAUCCCACGGCUCAACCGUGGGGCUUGCUGGGGAUACUGCGGGCCUUGGGACCGGGAGAGGCCGGGGGUACCCCUGGGGUAGGGGUGAAAUCCUAUAAUCCCAGGGGGACCGCCAGUGGCGAAGGCGCCCGGCUGGAACGGGUCCGACGGUGAGGGACGAAGGCCAGGGGAGCGAACCGGAUUAGAUACCCGGGUAGUCCUGGCUGUAAAGGAUGCGGGCUAGGUGUCGGGUGAGCUUCGAGCUCGCCCGGUGCCGAAGGGAAGCCGUUAAGCCCGCCGCCUGGGGAGUACGGCCGCAAGGCUGAAACUUAAAGGAAUUGGCGGGGGAGCACUACAAGGGGUGGAGCGUGCGGUUUAAUUGGAUUCAACGCCGGGAACCUCACCGGGGGCGACGGCAGGAUGAAGGCCAGGCUGAAGGUCUUGCCGGACACGCCGAGAGGAGGUGCAUGGCCGCCGUCAGCUCGUACCGUGAGGCGUCCACUUAAGUGUGGUAACGAGCGAGACCCGCGCCCCCAGUUGCCAGUCCUCCCCGCUGGGGAGGAGGCACUCUGGGGGGACCGCCGGCGAUAAGCCGGAGGAAGGAGCGGGCGACGGUAGGUCAGUAUGCCCCGAAACCCCCGGGCUACACGCGCGCUACAAUGGAAUC
rnacentral:rRNA from 1 species